rnacentral:rRNA from 1 species
GACGAACGCUGGCGGCGUGCCUAAUACAUGCGAGUAGAACGCACAGUUUAUACCGUAGCUUGCUACACCAUAGACUGUGAGUUGCGAACGGGUGAGUAACGCGUAGGUAACCUGCCUGGUAGCGGGGGAUAACUAUUGGAAACGAUAGCUAAUACCGCAUAAUAUUGAUUAUUGCAUGAUAAUUGAUUGAAAGAUGCUAUUGCAUCACUACCAGAUGGACCUGCGUUGUAUUAGCUAGUAGGUGAGGUAACGGCUCACCUAGGCGACGAUACGUAGCCGACCUGAGAGGGUGAUCGGCCACACUGGGACUGAGACACGGCCCAGACUCCUACGGGAGGCAGCAGUAGGGAAUCUUCGGCAAUGGACGAAAGUCUGACCGAGCAACGCCGCGUGAGUGAAGAAGGUUUUCGGAUCGUAAAGCUCUGUUGUAAGAGAAGAACGGGUGUGAGAGUGGAAAGUUCACACUGUGACGGUAUCUUACCAGAAAGGGACGGCUAACUACGUG